rnacentral:rRNA from 1 species
UACAGAGGGGGCAAGCGUUGUUCGGAAUUACUGGGCGUAAAGGGCUCGUAGGCGGCCUAACUAAGUCAGACGUGAAAUCCCUCCGGGCUUAACCGGGGAACUGCGUCUGAUACAUGGAUGGCUUGAGUUCGGGUAGGGGAGGACUGGGAAUUCCUGGUGUAGCGGUGAAAUGCGCAGAUAUCAGGAGGAACACCGGUGGCGAAGGCGGUUCUCUCGGGCGAUUACCUGACGCUGAGGAGCGAAAAGUGUGGGGAGGCGAAACGGGG